AUUAACGCUGGCGGCGUGCAUCACCCCUGCCCGUCGAACGAUGAAACUUAAAUGAUUUCUUCGGAAUGAACUUAAGUGGAUUAGUGGCGGACGGGUGAGUAACGCGUGAGUAACCUGCCUUACACAAGGGGAUAGCCGUUGGAAACGACGAAUAAUACCCUAUGAAACUAUCACUUCGCAUGAAGCGAUAGUCAAAGUGUUAGCGGUGUAAGAUGGACUUGCGUCUGAUUAGCUAGUUGGUGAGAAAAAAGCCCACCAAGGCAACGAUCAGUAGCCGGCUUGAGAGAGGGCACGGCCACAUUGGGACUGAGACACGGCCCAGACGCCUACGGGAAGCAGCAGUGGGGAAUUUUGCACAAUGGGGGAAACCCUGAUGCAGCGACGCCGCGUGAUUUAGAAGGCCUUCGGGUUGUAAAAAUCUUUUGUAUAGGAAGAAAAUGACAGUACUAUACGAAUAAGGUCCGGCUAAUUACGUG
rnacentral:rRNA from 1 species